GCGCUGGUGCUGGAAUUGGCAGACAGGCAUGGUUGAGGGCCAUGUGGCGAAAGCCGUGAGGGUUCAAGUCCCUCUCAGCGCACUA
rnacentral:tRNA from 1 species